rnacentral:tRNA from 1 species
AAGGCCUUGGCUUAAGUAAAGCAUCUGUUUUGCACACAGAAAAGUGGAUUAAAAUUCUGCAGGUCUUC